UUCGGUUGUAUUUGCAAGUCCUAUUAUUUUUAUUUUUUUGUCUUCUUUUGAUUUCUCUCUAGGGUUAUUUCAGUGGGUAUUCGUCAAAAUCAGAGAUUUUUCACUUGGCAGGGAAGUUUCGGUUUAAUGGUUUUUCUUAUGUCCGUCAAAUUGCUGCAAAUUUUUUUCUGAUUAUUGUGGCUUUGGACAGAACAACUUCUGUAAUUCGUGGACUGAUUCUCCAAACUUCUAUCUAAUCCUUUGCUUUGUAGCCGGAAGAAACUCUUUCGAACAAACAAUGGAACGCAACGAGGAAGAAGCUAGAAGAGCAAUGGGUAUUGCUGAGAAGAGACUCUUAGAGAAUGAUUACCACGGAGCCAAAACAUUCGUUAACCAGGCAAGGAGUUUGUAUCCAAAUCUUGAUGGUUUACAACAAGCCCUGAUUAUGAUCGAUGUUUAUAUCUCUGCAUCUACCAGGAGAGGAAGAGAAGCUGAUUGGUAUGAGAUUCUCGGUGUAGAUAGCUUAGCAGAUGACGAAACCGUCAAGAAACAGUACAAGAAGUUAGCUCUUUUGCUUCACCCGGACAAAAACAAGUUCAGCGGUGCAGAAGGCGCGUUUAAACUGGUUUUAGAAGCUUGGUCUCAGUUGUCUGAUCAUCAAGGAAAACAUAAAAAGAGUGGAAUGCAGAAACCACCAAAGCCACACGAGGCAGCUUCAUCUAACAGGCCAAACCCAAAGCCACGUGAGCCAGCUCCAUCUAACAAGCCAAAGCCAAAGCCUAGGCAUGAGCCUGAACUAACGCCUAAGAUUGAACCUACUUUUUGGACAGUGUGCAGUAGAUGCAAGACGUAUUGUGAAUUCUUGAGGGCUGAUUACCUUAACAAAACAUUGUCUUGUCCAAAUUGCUGUCGGAGAUUCAUUGCAGUCGAGGUUAUUCCAGAGAUCAUUAAUGGGAGGCCUGUCAUCAGAUUGAGUCCCUCUCAGGAAACUUUUUCUUCAACUUGGGCAUAUGAUAGCAGAAAGUCUACGAGUCAAACACACAAGAGAUUGAAAAGAUGGUUUGAGCCUAAGCUUGAGUCUGAUUUUGUGCCAAGAGAGGAGAAAGUUCGUAACUUUACGUUUUGGACAGUGUGCAAUAGAUGCAAGACGUAUUGUAGAUUUGCCAGGUCUAGUUAUGUUAACAAGAUCUUGCCUUGUCCAAACUGUCGUGAAGAUUUCGUUGCGAAUGAGAUCAUUCCAGAGGUAGUCAAUGGGAGUCCUGUCAUCAAAUUGACUCCACAUUUUCGACCAACAUGCAAAAGCACAAGUGGUGCUUCUUCUUUUACAAGAGCGUCAGCAUCUUCUAGUAGCGCAAAAGCUGCAAAUAGAGGACAAGAAUCAAUGAAAUAUUGGUUUGGGGAGUCAUAAGAAUGUUUCUGCUGCUGCUGCUAGAGAGGCUUUGCAAUAAACGAUGACAGCAACAAGUGCAAACUGUACUCUUGAAACAGAGAGGAUUUUCAAGAAACCAAAGAGAAGAAAAACAACACCAUGUUUGUGGAAGUCUACACCAAGUUCCAGCUUCUGCCAUUUUCUUACUAUACCAACGAUCCGGAAAGCAUGACCCGCACAUGAAAAUCAUGUGAAAACUGUCUAGAAACGUUUAAAAAUAUACCCUUGAUUGUAUUGACCACAAUUUAAAGAGAGUGAUCAUAUUAAGUUUAAAUAUGAAAUUUUAAUGCUUCUAACAAUAUAUAAAAGAGAUCUUGGACCAAUUUCUCUUUUGAAACUAUUAUAAAACAUCAUGCUACACAGAGUUAAGCAAUCAUUCUAGAUUUCCAUCACUUGAAAGUUCAAAACUAAUUUCAACAUGGAGUAAAAGUUCAAAUCCCAGUUUCAUAGUUCAAAACAAUAUCACAUACAGAUCCAAACAUUACUGUUAGUUUACCGCAUACCAAAAAAAAAACAUUAACAAUGUUGCAAGAGAGCAUGACAUGUUGACAUACUUCGGGCUUCUACUUUAACACUUUAAGGCACUGUGUGCUGGUUGUGUACUUUAGAUUUGUGCUUUGGAUAUAAUGUGACAAAAUUGCCCAUUUCGGAAAACUCUAGAAACCAUCAAAGGUAGUUAAAGGACGUCGCGAUUUUUCGGCCCCAAAUUCAGCCGUUUUGACCCUCAAACGGGUUGCUGAAAUUUACGGAGCGUAAAAUAGUCGCGAUGUGUUUUUUUCGAGUGAUUUGGUGUUGUUGUGUUCUACAUCAAUCUCGACGCACUUUCGUUCGAGAAAAAAAAAUGCCAACAAAUC